rnacentral:lncRNA from 1 species
UUAAUCAAUUCACAUCACAUGUAAAUCAAUUUGACUAACUACAACUAAGUUCAAUUUUAAGCCCCUUUGACCUAAUCCCAACCAACUCUUGAUUAGGUUCAAUCAACUGCUCAAAAUAGAAAAGGAUUCUAAUCUGAUCUAAUCAAUGACCCUAGUUGUAGUUUAGUCUCUAAACCUAAUUUGUUCAACCUAUACCCAAAGUUCAUAUUUUAUACAUUGAAAUUUAGAUCUUAAAUUCAUUAUUUUAGAUCUGUUGGUGCAAAAAUCCGCUUGCGCCGGAGAAGCUGGAGUCGGGGAAGCCGCGGUCGCCGUCGGGACCUGCAAGGGAAGUCUAAACUGGAGGUGGGGUUGCUCUGGCAAGACCCUCCGAUGCUCAAGUCAGUUCUCUGCCUCAACAAGAAUGGAGUGCUCGAACGGAGAAUUUAGCAGAGUUUUGAGAUAAAGAAUAUGAGCUUAAAGAAUAACGUAUCUGGGUCUCCCUUUUAUAGGCGGAGGAGGCAACGGAUUGAUGGCGACGUUUGUAACCGCCUGGUAGUGGGCCGCCCAUGGUCAGGGGGAAUUGAUUGCGGAAGAUGGUGGAGCAGACACGUGGCCAUCACUGCGGCCCGCCACGUGGAAUCUGUUAUGAGGGGUGGAGCAGCGUCCGUUGUCGUGACUUGCUAGCGGAUAGAAGAAUCGCAUGGUAUCCGUCGCAGGAGGUGGAGCAGGUUCGUGGCCGUUAUUGUGGCCUGUCAGGGG